rnacentral:rRNA from 1 species
ACAAGUCGAGCAGAGACGAAAGUCGGGCUUAGUGAUCCGGUGGUACUGUGUGGAAAGGCCAUCGCUCAACGGAUAAAAGCUACCCUGGGGAUAACAGGCUAAUCUCUCCCAAGAGUUCAUAUCGACGGGGAGGUUUGGCACCUCGAUGUCGGCUCAUCACAUCCUGGAGCUGGAGUAGGUUCCAAGGGUUGGGCUGUUCGCCCAUUAAAGUGGUACGCGAGCUGGGUUCAAAACGUCGUGAGACAGUUUGGUUCAUAUCCAUCGCGGGCGCAAGAAGUUUGAGGGAGGCUGCUCCUAGUACGAGAGGACCGGAGUGGACGGAUCAACGGUGUACCAGUUGUCACGCCAGUGGCACGGCUGGAAAGCCGCAUCCGGAAAGGAUAAACGCUGAAAGCAUCUAAGCGUGAAGCCCGUCCCGAGAUGAGACUUCUCAUCAGCAAUGAGUAAGACCCCUUAAAGACGAUGAGGUUGAUAGGCUGUGAGUGGAAGGCCCGUAAGGGUUGGAGCGACGCAGUACUAAUAGGUCGAGGUCUUAACUUG